GACGAACGCUGGCGGCGUGCCUAAUACAUGCAAGUCGAACGCUGAAGGAGGAGCUUGCUUCUCCGGAUGAGUUGCGAACGGGUGAGUAACGCGUAGGUAACCUGCCUGGUAGCGGGGGAUAACUAUUGGAAACGAUAGCUAAUACCGCAUAAGAGUAGAUGUUGCAUGACAUUUGCUUAAAAGGUGCAAUUGCAUCACUACCAGAUGGACCUGCGUUGUAUUAGCUAGUUGGUGAGGUAACGGCUCACCAAGGCGACGAUACAUAGCCGACCUGAGAGGGGGAUCGGCCACACUGGGACUGAGACACGGCCCAGACUCCUACGGGAGGCAGCAGUAGGGAAUCUUCGGCAAUGGACGGAAGUCUGACCGAGCAACGCCGCGUGAGUGAAGAAGGUUUUCGGAUCGUAAAGCUCUGUUGUAAGAGAAGAACGAGUGUGAGAGUGGAAAGUUCACACUGUGACGGUAUCUUACCAGAAAGAGACGGCUAACUACGUG
rnacentral:rRNA from 1 species